GAAAUGCGAUAAGUAGUGUGAAUUGCAGAAUUCAGUGAAUCAUCGAAUCUUUGAACGCACAUUGUGCCCUUUGGUAUUCCAAAGGGCAUGCCUGUUCGAGCGUCAUUUGUACCCUCAAGCUUUGCUUGGUGUUGGGCGUCUUGUCUCUAGCUUUGCUGGAGACUCGCCUUAAAGUAAUUGGCAGCCGGCCUACUGGUUUCGGAGCGCAGCACAAGUCGCACUCUCUAUCAGCAAAGGUCUAGCAUCCAUUAAGCCUUUUUUCAACUUUUGACCUCGGAUCAGGUAGGGAUACCCGCUGAACUUAAGC
rnacentral:misc_RNA from 1 species